AUAGCAACAGUAGCAGCUACUGAAAAUAUUUCAUUAUCAUCAUCAUUUUUACCAUUCCUCUGUAAUAAUCUAAAGUUAUUUUGACAAAAUAAGUCUGCAAAUUCCAAUAUAGCGCUGUUUGCUUCCGCCAGGUUGCCUGGUUGCCAGAAAGCAACUUAGCAAAAUGCUAUAAAAUUAGUUUAGAUUAAAAUUUUUGUUCCAAAUUGUACGUAAAUUUUAAUUCAACAUUUUUUUAAACUAAUGCAAAAGAACGAAGAAAAAAGAACAACUUAUUUAUGAAUAUAAAAUGUAUGCUUAUGCAUUAAUAAUAAUAUAUUUACAGUUUAUAAAUGUUACUUUUCUAUAAUGCCCAGCAAUUAAUGUACAGUGCUCAUUUGUAAUAAGGAAGGUUGAAACAGAAAUACUGUAAAUAAAUAUGCAUCGGAUAUUUUAAAAAUCCCGAGUAUUUCUACUAUGUCAGCUCCACGUCACGCGGAAACGCAAGAAUGUGGGCAACAAUAGAUUUUUUUAAUUGUUACUUUCUUUGUUGAGUGUGCGAUUUUCAAAUGAGAAAGGAGUUUUUUCGAGAUUCUUUGCUUCGUUUCUUGAGAAAUACUGUUUUGGAUAUAAAUAUUUCGACAUUUUGUGGAAGAUGCUCAUAUGCAUGCAGAUGUGGAUAGAGAUUUAGAGUUGGUGUUGUCUGAGAAGCAAUUUGAUCCUCCCGAUCUCACUUGUCAGCAUGAAAUUCCCAACAGAUCAUGAUGAUCGAGAUGAUUUCUUUAGUUGGGAGUUGGAAAGUUACCAAGAAACAAAUUAUUUGGAAAUUGUUCUCGAUCUUACUGAGGAUUGUUUCAACGACGAUUAUAAUUCGCAACAGGUUUUUGAAAACGAUGUUUGCUUUCCUUGCGAUGGAUGCGAGAAUAAUCUUGUAUAAUGUGAUGAGAAAGUUGAGCCGGAAGUUAUUAAAGAUAGUUUCAAUAGGUUCUUACCAUGACUAAAUGAUGGACAGUAUAUACAUCAGAAUCUCCAUAAUAAACACGAAUACCUCUGACAGUAAAGCCAAAUCCUCUAGCUCCUCGCCUGAUAAUGAUAGGUGGUUUCAAUUGAGCAAUUAGUGGACUUAAUUCUCGACUUGGAGAUGUAUCUCUGGAACUAGUGCUAGAACCUCCAGGUGAACCAAUUGGCUGAGCACCAAAAGUGCCAGACAUAUCUUCUGCAUGCUGUGAAAUAUCAUCAUAACAGAUUUGGUUGCAUUUGAAAUGGUAAAUCUCUCUCUAAACUAUGGGUGGUCAACCUAUGACAUGCAUGCCUAAAGUGGCUCAUAAGGAGAAAGCAUC
rnacentral:lncRNA from 1 species